rnacentral:rRNA from 1 species
AUACGUAGGUGGCAAGCGUUGUCCGGAAUUAUUGGGCGUAAAGCGCGCGCAGGCGGUCCUUUAAGUCUGAUGUGAAAGCCCACGGCUCAACCGUGGAGGGUCAUUGGAAACUGGGGGACUUGAGUGCAGAAGAGGAAAGUGGAAUUCCAAGUGUAGCGGUGAAAUGCGUAGAGAUUUGGAGGAACACCAGUGGCGAAGGCGACUUUCUGGUCUGUAACUGACGCUGAGGCGCGAAAGCGUGGGGAGCAAACAGGAUUAGAUACCCUGGUAGUCCACGCCGUAAACGAUGAGUGCUAAGUGUUGGGGGGUUUCCGCCCCUCAGUGCUGCAGCUAACGCAUUAAGCACUCCGCCUGGGGAGUACGGUCGCAAGACUGAAACUCAAAUGAAUUGACGGGG